CAGGGGCUGAUGGGAGCUUUGAAGAACUGCUGCAUAUCAGCGGAGGGGGAAGACCCGUCUGAUCUCACAGCUCAUCCUUGUUUGGCCUCAGCUGCAUCAGAGCGCCACUUCUCCCCAGGUUCACCAGAGGAAACACCACUGCACAAAAUGCUUUUCCUCCCAGCUGCUGCUCUGUGCUGUCUGUGUUCAGCACUGGUUACCAUGGCAGCACAGAUGAUUCAGGAGGAUUUAACAUUGACCAGGAGAGUUGGAGAAAGUGUCUCCUUCAGCUGUGGAGAUGAUGAAUGUGACUAUACUGGUUUGAUCUGGUACCAGAAGAAAGAUACUGAACCAUUUAGGCUAGUUCUUGUCGUGGAUACUGAUGAUGGUAGAGUUGAGUCAAGUUCUAAUCAUUCCCAGAAAGAUGAUUUUUCAGUUGAGAUUAAACAGAACAGAUACCAGUUGAAGAUAGAGAAAGUUAAACUUGAGCAUUCGGCCACUUAUUACUGUGCCUGUUGGAAGGACGCACCCCACAGUGAGAAAUGAUGCCUGCAGCCUGAGCAAAAACCAAAGCAUACAGAGAUGUCAAUCAGAGUUUGUGACAGGAAGAGAGCAGUAAACCACAGCCCAGGUGUAUGUAUUUCUUCACAAUCACAACCAUACUGAGGCUGUCCUGCUCCAGAAAUGGAAAGCCGUUUCUUUGUUGUUGCUGUUGUUUCAAGCAGCUAUUACAAUCUUACGUAUCUUUUUCAAUUAGAGCUACAAGUUGGUUGUGUUACUAAAUAGGGAAAGGAAUGUGUGUUGGCAAAACUGAUUGAUUGAGAGCAAAGCUCUCAAUUUACUGGCCGAUCUACAUCCCUGCCCUCACCUAUGGUUACGAGCUGUGGGUAGUGGCUAAAAGAAGGAGAUCGCGGAUACAAGCGGUGGAAAUUAGCUUCCUCCGAAGGUUGAAUGGCAUCUCCCUUAGAGAUAGGGCGAGAGGUUCAGCCAUUUGGGUGGGGCUCAGAGUAGAGCCGCUGCUCUUCCACAUCGAAAGGAGCCAGCUGAGGUGUUUCGGGGAUCUGACAAGGAUGCCUCCUGGGCUCCUCUUGGGUGAGGUGUUCUGGGCCUGUCCCACCGGGA
ensembl:lncRNA